UAAGCAUACCAACAAUAAACACACCAAACACGAGCAGACAGCAUGAUAAUCACGUCUAGACUUGGCAGCAACAACAAAAAGUGGAGUACCAACAAAACUUCGGUCUGUUUAGGUGCUUGAUAAUAUAUUUUUGGCAUUCAAGUUUUUAAGCAAAUAAACCAAUAAACUACCUCAUGGUUGGCAUGUACAA